rnacentral:rRNA from 1 species
CUACGGGCCGCAGCAGUGAGGAAUUUUGCGCAAUGGGGGAAACCCUGACGCAGCAACGCCGCGUGAGUGAUGAAGGCCUUCGGGUCGUAAAGCUCUGUCUAGUGGGAAGAACUUGCUUGAUGCUAAUAUCACCAGGCACUGACGGUACCACUGAAGGAAGCACCGGCUAACUCCGUGCCAGCAGCCGCGGUAAUACGGAGGGUGCAAGCGUUAUUCGGAAUUAUUGGGCGUAAAGGGCGCGGAGGCGGCCUUAAAAGUCAGAUGUGAAAGCCCAGGGCUCAACCCUGGAAGUGCAUUUGAUACUAUGAGGCUUGAGUAUGGGAGAGGGAAGUGGAAUUCCUGGUGUAGAGGUGAAAUUCGUAGAUAUCAGGAGGAGCACCGGUGGCGAAGGCGACUUCCUGGACCAAUACUGACGCUGAGGCGCGAAGGCGUGGGGAGCAAACAGGAUUAGAUACCCUAGUAGUC